GGGGACGUGGCCCAGCCAAGUGGAAUUCCAACUGCGAAUUCACCCUGGACAGGCAAGGCGACAGGCUCCAGACCUGUAUAUCGUCGGUUCGAAUCCGACCGUCCCCA
rnacentral:tRNA from 1 species